rnacentral:misc_RNA from 1 species
AAAGAGGCAAUUUUUUUUUUAAAUUUUCGCACACAAUCCUUUUUGCAUCCCAUUUUCUAGAAUUAGAAGUGCGCAUAUACUUUGUGAAGUGAUGAUUUAUGUCUAUAAAUGUAAACGUUGGUGGAGGGCAAUGAGCAAAAAGGGCGGAGGGGUAUGUGAACGAAGUAUGGCUAGUCGGUUGUCCAUUGUGUGUAAUGACCGAAAGGAGCAUAGUGCGCAUCAUCCAAAGCAAAAGGAAGGUGCCGGCUUGGAAGAAUAUGUAAGGUGGUGAUGGUAUUCUCCAGA